rnacentral:lncRNA from 1 species
CAACUACCAAUUUGAUACCACAAAAUUGUGGAGAAAAAGGGGUUAACAUUUUUUUUAAAUAAAUGUUAAAAGAUAUCUUCUCACAGAUAUGAAAGGGCUAUAUGUUUCGAAAACCUUUUCGCAAGCAGUGAUUAUUUACGUUUCUAAACUUUAAAACACAGAGUCGGAAUUGUAGUUCACAUGGAGCCAGCAGUGGGCGAAGCUUACUGCUGGAAACCCUAUGAAGAGAAGGGUUAUCGAGAGCUAAUGUAGGGGAUCAUUGAGGAUUCAGUGGACGCACAGCCAUCAACUAUCACUUUUAUUAUUCAAAUUAGUUUCCUCAAAUUACAGGAGACGGAGGAGGUUAAUUAUACAUUGUUUCUUGGUUUUAUAACUUUAUGUUUGUGUCCAGAUACGGCAAUUUAUUUCGCCGCCAACGCUACCUCAAAUUGCUUUUAUUUUUUGUUGAACCCCUUUCAUUCUCUGGGGUACACGGAAAAAGUGCGAAUUAAAACCGAGGUCGACUGCCUGAGAUCAGUUUGAUGAAGAAAGAUGAAAAGGUGAUGGCGUUCAAUACCAAUUUCUAUCAAAAGUAUAGCUGGUUAACAGGGAGCCUUUCAUCAAUCCGCCUGUAUUGCUGGCCUUGCCUGCUUUUUGGAAAGUCUGAGCCUUGGGCGAAAGAGGGGUACAGUGCCCAGAAGAACAUUGAUCGUUCAGCUAAACGACAAAACAAAAGCAGGGAGCGUAACGUUAUAAGAUUCAAACUUCUGGGAAAAACCCGCAUCUAUCAUGACGACGGUCUGCGUAUUCAAAAUGCGCAACACAAUGAGAAAAAGUGAACACUCCUCUCCACUACGAUUGUCAACUCUCUCCUGACAUGAACUGAAGCCACGUCUCAUGUUCCCGCUCAUCCACUGUUACAUUUAAUGUUUCCUCUCCAAACACUUCAAAUUCUGUCCUGCACUGAAGUCAAGCCUCCACUGGUCUCUGCCCUUGAAUGUCUGCAUUGGACAUCACUUGGCCUUCAUGGAGCAGCCAUGUACCACCACCCUCUCAAUAUAUCAGUAGUCAAAUGCAGGCUAUACCACGCCAGAGUUCUAUCCAAAUAUAAAGAUGGCAAGCUUAGUUCGGCAACUUUUGAUCUCCUUACAUGAGAUUUUAACUAGUCAGACAUUAUUAUGAGGUACAUAUAAUGUAACCUACCUUUGUGAUGUCAUAUGGGAGAAAAAUACAGUUUAACUUUCUUCAGCUGUUUAAUUUUCCCAUUGAGACCAAGGUGUCUUCUGCAAGGGAGCCCUGCAUCUUAUAAUUAAACAACAAAUUACACAUAGAAAAUACACCAGAAAAUAAAAAUACAGAGAUUACAAAAAAGAAAAGAAAACACACAUGAAAAACAAUCACAUUCCUCAGCAAAAAGGUCCUCAAUCAGCACUCUGAACUGCCCGAAAGGCACCCAUGCAUCCAUUUGUAGGGAACUCUGAAGAAACUAAAAGCUGUUUUUCCUAAUUCUGUAGCAACAGGGAAUUUCCAGUUAUCUAUCCCUGUGAUGGGUAUGGUAACUCGUACAUAUAUGGGUAAGUAAAGAUGUCAGGUAAUGUGGGAGUUUUUGCAAAAGGGCUUUAAAAAUGAAUAAAAUGCAGUGUUUCGACAUACAUGAGGUCAAAGAGGACCAUCCUACUUUCUGAUAGAGCAAGCAGUGAUGAGUGCAAAACCUCUCACCCCUGAUAGAACAAAGCGCACUAUGGUGAACUGCAUCUAACGGCUUUAAUGAAGUGACAGCUGCAUUCAUGUAGAUCAGUGGUUCCCAAACGUUUUAUAGUCCCGUAGCCAUUCAAACAUUCAACCUCCAGCUGCGUACCCCCUCUAGCACUCUCAAAUGUUUUUUGCCAUCAUUGUAAGCCUGCCACACACACACUAUACAAUACAUUUAUUAAACAUAAGAAUUAGUUUGAGUUUUUGUCACAACCUGGCUCGUGGGAAGUGACUAAGAGCUCUUAUAGGACCAGGGCACAAAUAAUACUAUAAUAAUAAUAAAUAAUUUUGCUUUUUAUUUAGCCAUCUUACAUAUAAAACCUUAUUUGUUCAUCAAAAAUUGUGAAUAACUCACCACAGGUUAAUGAGAAGGGUGUGUUUGAAAGGAUGCACAUAACUCUGUAAUGUUGGGUUUUAUUGGAGAGAGUCGCAGUCAUAUAAUUUUCCACACACAGUCUGUGCCUGUAUUUAGUUUUCAUGCUAGUGAGGGCCGAGAAUCCACUUUCACAUAGGUACGUGGUUGCAAAGGGCAUCAGUGUCUUAACAGCACGAUUUGCCGAGGCAGGCAACUCUGAGCACAGCCCUAUCCAGAAAUCUGGCGGAGGCUUCUGAUUAAAUUACAUUUUCAGAGAACCGCUUGCUGCAAUUUCGAUGAGACUCUCUUGUUCAGAUAUGGGUAAGUGGACUGGAGGCAGGACAUUGAAAGGGAUAACGAAUCCAGUUGUUUGUGUCGUCUGUUUCGGGAAGGUACUUGCGUAAUUGUGCACCCAGCUCACUCAGGUGCUUCGCUAUAUCCCAUUUGACAUUGUCCGUAAGCUUGAGUUCAUUUGCACACAAAAAAAUCAUACAGUGAUGGAAAGACCUGUGUGUUGUCCUUGUUAAUGCAGACAGAGAAGAGCUCCAACUUCUUAAUUGUGGCCUCAACUUUGUCCUGUACAUUGAAUAUAGUUGCUGAGAGUCGCUGUAAUCCUAGAUUCAGAUCAUUCAGGUGAGAAAAAACAUCACCCAGAUAGACCAGUCGUGUGAGAAACUCGUCAUCAUGCAAGCGGUCAGACAAGUGAAAAUUAUGGUCAGUAAAGAAAACUUUAAGCUUGUCUCUCAAUGCAAAAAAACGUGUCAAUACUUUGCUCCUUGAUAAACAGCGCACUUCUGUAUGUUGUAAAAGCGUUACAUGGUCGCUGCCCAUAUUAUUGCAUAGUGCAGGAAAUACACGAGAGUUCAGGGGCCUUGCUUUAAAAAAGUUAACUAUUUUCACUGUAGUGUCCAAAACGUCUUUCAAGCUGUCAGGCAUUCCUUUGGCAGCAAGAGCCUCUCGGUGGAUGCUGCAGUGUACCCAAGUGGCGUCGGGAGCAACUGCUUGCAUGCGCGUUCCCACUCCACUAUGUCUCCCUGUCAUGGCUUUUGUGCCAUCAGUACAUAUACAAACACAUCUUGACCACCAAAGUCCAUUUGAUGUCACAAAGCUGUCCAGUACUUUAAAAAUAUCCUCUCCUGGUUUCCAGAAGAUGAUGUCCUCCUUAAAAGUCCCCCCAUAAAUGUAACGGACAUAUACCAGCUGUAACGCAUAGAGUUCACUGGCUUGUAUGCGAAGCAGUAAUUGUUUCAAAACAUCUCCUGCCAUGUCACUGAUGCUUCGUGUUGUUUGACGAAGGCAUUUUGACCUUUUCCCCCAGCAUUGUCCAACCCAUAUCCGCGGCAGCAAGAAGAAUUAAGUCCUCCACAAUAGUAUGGGGCUUGCCUGUCCUAGCCACUCGGUAGCUCACCAUAUAAGACACUUCUAGCCCCUUCUUAUUAAUGGUAUCUGUUGCUUUUAUACAUGUCUUACUAUUUGAAAGUCGUCUUAGAAAAUUGGACUGUUUCGUUUCUAAAUGUCUGCGCAAGAGUGAAGGUUUCCCGCGAUAGAGUAACGGUUAAUGUGUUUGGAUGUUAAUUAUUUGACUAGACUAUCUGUAUUUCUCACAUCCUGACCCUAGUAAGAUGUCAUUUUCUAUAGUAGGGCAGGGGGGUGUUUUUGGUCUAUCUAUGUUUUCUAUGUUUAGGUUCUAGUUUGUCUAUUUCUAUGUUGGGAUUGUUUGGGGUUGAUCUCUAAUUGGAGGCAGCUGAUCCUCAUUGCCUCUGAUUAGAAAUCAUAUUUAAGUAGGGGUUUUUCUCAUUGUGGUUUGUGGGUUAUUGUCUUUUGAGUAGUGUGUUGUCCUCUCUGCGUCACGGUUUGUUGUUUUCCUAUUUUCAAGUUAUUAGUGUAUUGGAUUCAGUGUCACUUUGAAUAAAUAUGUGGAACUAUGAAAACGCUGCAUCUUGGUCCGCUCCUUCGAACAGCCGUGACAGUAUUUGACAUUGUUGUUAUUUCGCUGAACACUAGAUGGUUUCAUUUUAUUUUUUGGCAGUGAAACGAGGCUACUCAGACGAGAAAAAACAACAUCAUUCAGUCGACGUUCCUUCAUGUCCUAGAAUAUGGCGACAUCAUCUACAUCGGAUAUUCCCCGCCGGGGUUCGCCAAAUAAAAAUGUGAUUCACAUUUUAAAGCAGUCCAUUUAGAUUUUCCAACGGGGCAAUACAUUUCAGUGAACUGCAUUCUACUAUUGAGAGGCUUAACCUAGUGCCUUCAGAAAGUAUUUACUUGACUUUUUCCACAUUUUGUUGUGUUACAGCCUGAAUUUAAAAUUGAUUAAAUUGAGAUUGUGUCACUGAUCUACACAUGUCAAAGUGGAAUUUUGUUUGUAAUAAAAAAUGAGAAGUUGAAAUGUCUUGAGUCAAUAAG